rnacentral:rRNA from 1 species
GACGUAGGGCGCGAGCGUUGUCCGGAUUUAUUGGGCGUAAAGAGCGUGUAGGCGGCUUCACAGGUCCGCUGUGAAAACUCGAGGCUCAACCUCGAGCUGUCGGUGGAAACCGUGUGGCUAGAGUCCGGAAGAGGAGAGUGGAAUUCCCGGUGUAGCGGUGAAAUGCGCAGAUAUCGGGAAGAACACCCGUGGCGAAGGCGGCUCUCUGGGACGGUACUGACGCUGAGACGCGAAAGCGUGGGGAGCGAACAGG